rnacentral:lncRNA from 1 species
CUGGAACUCCCUUGUGUUUUGCUGGAGCUUCUCCCCUGGCUGCUCACAGGGAAUGCAGCGGAGGAGGGUGCAUGGCCAAGGAGCCUGGGCAGCAUGGUGCUCAUUUGGAACAGCUGGGUGGCAGCUCAGACCAAGGGCUCGUACCUGCGGGUUGGAUUUAUGAGCGUUUGGGAAAACACAGCUACUCUACUACCAAAACCACGGCUUUGCCAGUCUAAUCCUGUUUUCUCCUUGAAGGAUUAGUUUCUAAGAUUGGGACAAAUAUUUCUGGGGAAAGAAGAGGAGGAGUAAGCAAACACAACUGUCACUUGGAACAAGAAUUAAGAAGGUAAAAUGUGAAGAAAUGCUGUCUUAGAUUGAUGUAAUCACCAAACUGUAGUUCAGGGAUGUGAGCUAUGAAGCUGAGGAUUGGACUACAGAAAACACCUGGACAGGGGCAACUUAAAAGCUGAGGUUAAAAGGAUGACUGAGCCCAGCAAAUGCAUCUGCAGCUCUUGAGCAGAAUGAGACUUUUGUAGAGGGAUUGCCAACAGGAGAUCCUCUGUCUUGCUGUGAAGGAACUGUCCAGGAACUAGCAAAGAUGGAUGCAUGCCUGGUUGCUCUGAUCCGAAGGAACCACUCUGCUCUGCUUGGAGGCAGUGCUUUCAGGAGGACAACAGGAGUUAUGUGGGCCCUUCUUUCCUGCCUGAAUCCUGUGGAGGAAGAAGCAUUCACGUUCACAUGCUAUUCCUUGUUUCAAGAUUAUUUAAGGAACCACCGCUGUUGA